rnacentral:rRNA from 1 species
AGUACCCCAGGUCAGGCGGGGCGACCCGCCGAGUUUAA